GCCAAAUUUGAAGUCAGAAAUUAUAAACCAUCUUGAAAGAGUAAAAAAGACACUGAUAAAAAGUAAAAGCUGAAAAAACUACAACUAAAUUUUGAUAUCAUUGACUUCAUCAAGCUAUCUCGGAGAAUAAUUUUGAGGGAGCUAAAUGAUGAAUUUGAUGAUGACGUAUUGAUGAAGAUGAGAGUGAUUGGGAAUUUUGCUCCAAAGAAUGAUGCUUUGGAAAGUAUAUCUUUGCAGACCACUCUGUUUUAUGGGUUUCUAUCGGACAAAGAUUGCAUAAAAUUACUCAUUAAAUUAAAAAAGAAUCAAAUGCAGAUAAAAGAGUCAACAAGAAAGUUGCUCUGAUUUGCAUUUGAACAAGCAAAAAGAACCCUAUCAAUUGAGCAUUAUAGUCCCACCAUGAUUUAUGAGAUUUGAUCAUAUCUGGUAAUUUAAAGAGUAAAUAGGAAUGUGAAACAUCUCAGCAGGGCUUGUUAGUCUCACUGUUUCUAAGAAACAACAAAGUCACCAGCAGCAGGUUGCGGAGUUUGCACAUAUUCUAUUUUCCUGUUAUAAUUAAUUAUGGUGAUUUAUAUGAUAACUCUCUUAAACAGGAAGAAAUUGCAAUUAAAGAAACUUGUUUCCUUAUUAGCUACGCCAAAAACCAUUGGCUGAGCCUCCUCAUGCACUUAGGACAAACAAAUAUAAUUAACAUUAUUUAAUUAAGCAAAGCAUUGUGAAAAUUUAGAUAAUAGCAUGCCAAUAAUCAAAUAUCCACUUAAACAAGAAAACAAUCAAAAUAAGGAAGCUGAAAGAAAGAUCAGUAUAUGGAUCUACACAAUCACAAUUCACAUAAUACCAGCUAAUGGAUUUUGAAUGUACUAGUUAACAACAAAGCCACUGUAUUAGCAAAUGUAAUUCAAAUGUUGAGCUUAUGAUCAUAAAAUUGCUACUGUCUUGCCAGCAAGACCAACAAGAAGAUAAGCAAUACGCUCCUAAAUAAUUGUAACAAAAAUUUUCUUUUCAAGUUCCACAUCACCACAUUGCACCUAUGCAACAAAAAUUCCAGGCAUUAAUGAUAAAAAUUAUAUACUGCCAAAAUAAAAAUUAUCAAUUUUAAUCACUCCUAUGGGUAUAGUGCAAUUAGAUUGAAAAAAGGUAAAUAUAUGAUGAACAUGGUGUUGAAAUUAAUUUAGAAUUAAUUUUCAAAGGUUGAGUUUAAUAGAGUUUUGAAGUUCAAAGAGUCACAUGAUUAUAUUCAAAGUGUCUUGAUGUGUGCGUGUGAUAGUACAUAUUAACUAUUUAAAAGUUCAGAUGUAUUCAAAGACCAUUAUAUAAAGUGACGCGGUCAUUUGAGAAUAUACAAGAACAAGAAAUUUAGAAGUAAAAACUAUAGAGCUAAGUUCUUAAAAGAUAUUUGUGUUUCUCAGGAACUAUAGAGCUAAGUUCUUAUAAUACGCGUUUCUGUCAUAUAGCGAUGAUAUUAAUACAAUGUAGCUAAAUAUCUAAUUAAUUAUUGCUUCCUGUAUUUACAGUCCCAUCUAUAACACUGAUGAUUGGUCUCCAAGUGGUGAUGUCUAUGUUGGAGGUACCACAGGAUUGUUGAUAUGGGCAGUAACCCUGGUUGGCAUUCUUGCAGGGGGUGCCCUCCUUGUUUACAGUACAAGUGCUUUGGCACAGUAGAAGACUCACUCAUGACUCAAGACCUCCCCUUUUGAUAAUUCAAGUCUUGUAUUAAUUGAAGUCUUUUCAAAAAGUAACUGUGCAAAACAAUACCAUUAUGCAUGCAUGAACAAUAUACUUUUUAUGCUUUUGAAACUUGAUCUGUAAUCUCUGUAAUAUUGUUUUGGUAUGGAAUUGUUUUCAUGC